UGGAAUGCCAGGCCGCCCCCUGAAGGCAGUAGGCAGGGCUCACAGCUGCAGCCCAGUUUUGGGCUAACCGGGAACAGGGGCUUGAGAAGGCCUGGAGGCGAAGUCAAAGAGAAGCACCUGCGCCCCGGUGAAGACACACUCGCCCAUCACCGGCUGGGAGGCAGCUUUCAGUAAGAUGGCAGGGCCAGAACUGUUGUUCGACUCCAACACCUGCCUUUGGAUGGUCCUACCCAUCGUUAUCACUUUCUUCGUAGGCAUGAUCCGCCACUACGUGUCCAUCCUACUGCAGAGUGACAAGAAGCUCACCCAGAAACAAGUAUAUGACAGGGAAGCUCUCCGCUGGCCCCCUCUUCAGCAUGCAGGCCACGGCCACGUGAUGCUUGGCACCCUCCUGUUACCUGCAGCAGCUCCUCGAUGCUACAGAGGAAGGGCCGACCCCCAAGGGCAAGGCCUCAUCCUCAUCCCGACCUGUCUGAGGAUACUUCAGUGAAAGCCUAAGCCCCUUGGAAGCUUUCCCCAGUGAAGGACUAGACUAGGGCCCCCACGCCUCAACUGGUAAGUGCCCACAAGCCUGGCAGCUGUAGAGCCGCUAACCCCCCACACCUCUCCACCACACACGGACCUGAGUGAGGCGGAGGGGCUGGAAACCUGG